GUGAUGCAAAUGAUGACUGCAUAGUUCAGCUGAAUUUCUAUGUAGAACAUAAACCAAAGUCUUUCACCCCUAACUGAUGCAUCAC